GAGACAGUCAUUGCCCAGGAAAUGUGCCAGAAAGGCCAAGGGAGGACAAGAUACUGGGCAAAAUUGCUGAGACUCAAGGAAGGCUUAAACCAUGGAGGGAUGAGGCACCCAGAGACUUGGAGUCCCCUCAUAGCAGUGGAGUAGAUGGCCUGCAGGGGGCACCUGACCGAAUCUGUGACCAGCACCUGUAGAGGUUUAUAUAAAUAAUAUACCUCCAUACCAGUUAUGUGCUAAUCAGCAGCCACAUCGACAGCCAGUGUAUGUCUGUAAAAGAACCAGUGGCAGAGAAGAACAGCAACUCAGAAUGUAAUCCUAGAAAAAUAGUCCAAUCCAACUAUAUGUUAGGAAUCAACUGCAGUGGUAAUGUCACAGUGAUCAUCUUCCUUUUCUAGUAUAGUAUACUGGCAUAAUAUAAAAGAACUAGAAAAUAUAAGUGUCCUAGAUCUCUUAGAAUAAUGACUCUGAUCUGUUAUAAACAUGAAUGUUAUGGGUGUUUUGGGUCUUUAAAUAAUUUAAAGGGAGAGUAAAAAGUAUGGUAUCAUUUUGAACUCUUAACAUCAUGCAAGGAAAGAAAUCCAGCAAGCCUGGAAAAAGCUUCAUAUGGAGAACCCAGCCCCAAUUCAUAAAACAUAUUUGAAUUGAGAUGCUCCCAAGGAAAACAAUUCUUCAGUACUUCUCAUUCAUCUGUUACCAGGACCCCUGCCCCAGUCAAUGCACAGGCCUAUAUGAAUUCUGGAGCCGGGGGCAUCUAGAGCCAUCGCACUCAGCGUGCAGGAUGGAUCUGCUUUGUGGAUCAAUCGGAAUUGUGUAGUAAAGAUGGCUGCUGACCAGAGGAAUCCUGUUUCAUUUUGUUGCAGAAAUUAGGAAGUGUGCAGUGAAUGAAGCCGAGAAUUGCAAGUUGAGAAAGGAGGUAACAUGGGUGAGUUGACUAAGCCCAGUACUAAGAGCACCUCCUGAGUUGUAAUCCGACUAUAACAGUUUCUGUGGGUUUAGUCAAUUAAUGUAUCCUCUCAGCCUCAGGGUAUUCACUUCUAAAAUAUGGAGAGAAUUCUACCUUCUGCUUACCCCACAAGGGGGUUAAUGUUUAUAAAGUGUUGUUAGAGAAAUACUGAGAGUCACCAAAUUCUACACACAACCCUGCAGUUGCUGGCAUCCUAAGCGUUCCCGCCCCCUCUCUCCAAGCUUAUCUGCAUAAAUAUCUUUUGAAAAACUAGCCUAAAUAUUGUAAUUGUGUAGAGAUCCCAGCAAAAGCUCCCUGGGACUGCAGCUCUGCAGGAGGAGGCUAGUGGUGGCGAGAAGUUCCCACAACCAUUUUCUAUAAACUUCAAAUGCUGUCACUUCAUAAACUGAUGUGAGCACAACGGAGUGAUUUUCUUGGGCGGAGGGAGGGUAAAACAGUGUUUUGCAGGCUCAGGGUAGGAGAGUUUUGUGGUUAAGGCAUGGGACUAUGAGGCAGGAAAUCUGGGUUCCUUCCUGAGUGCCAUAGACUGUGGGUA
rnacentral:lncRNA from 1 species